rnacentral:rRNA from 1 species
GCAUAUCAAUAAGCGGAGGAAAAGAAACCAACAGGGAUUGCCCCAGUAACGGCGAGUGAAGCGGCAACAGCUCAAAUUUGAAAUCUGGUCCCCCCGCGGGGCCCGAGUUGUAAUUUGAAGAGGAUGCUUCUGGCAAGGUGCCGUCCGAGUUCCCUGGAACGGGACGCCGCAGAGGGUGAGAGCCCCGUACGGUCGGACGCCGAGCCUCUGUGAAGCUCCUUCGACGAGUCGAGUAGUUUGGGAAUGCUGCUCAAAAUGGGAGGUAAACCCCUUCUAAAGCUAAAUACCGGCCAGAGACCGAUAGCGCACAAGUAGAGUGAUCGAAAGAUGAAAAGCACUUUGAAAAGAGAGUUAAAAAGCACGUGAAAUUGUUGAAAGGGAAGCGCUUGCGACCAGACUCGCGCCCGUCGGAUCAGCCGUCGCUCGUCGGCGGCGCACUCCGGCGGGCUCGGGCCAGCAUCAGUUCGCCUCGGGGGGAGAAAGGCGGCGGGAAUGUGGCUCCACGGAGUGUUAUAGCCCACCGCGUAAUACCCCCGGGCGGACUGAGGACCGCGCGUAUGCAAGGAUGCUGGCGUAAUGGUCGUCAGCGACCCGUCUUGAAACACGGACCAAGGAGUCGUCCUAAUAUGCGAGUGUACGGGUGUCAAACCCCUGCGCGUAAUGAAAGUGAACGGAGGUGAGAGCUUCGGCGCAUCAUCGACCGAUCCUGAUGUUCUCGGAUGGAUUUGAGUAAGAGCAUAUUGGGCCGGACCCGAAAGAAGGUGAACUAUGCCUGUGUAGGGUAAAGCCAGAGGAAACUCUGGUGGAGGCUCGCAGCGGUUCUGACGUGCAAAUCGAUCGUCAAACAUGGGCAUGGGGGCGAAAGACUAAUCGAACCCUUCUAGUAGCUGGUUUCCGCCGAAG